rnacentral:lncRNA from 1 species
AAGGAGGUCUGUAAUAGUUAUCCCACGAGGACGCAGUGUGUUAGUGUAAUAUCAUCCCGAUGGCCGGAGGCCAGAGGGUGAUCUAAAACUGACACACCAAGUCCAAAUGGGAUAAAUAUUUUUACAUCCCAGCUGUUUAAGAUCAGACGAAAAACCAUUUAUAAUUCAUAAAAUCUAGUUUAGAACGCCACACAACCAUUAUAAUAUAUUUUAUAUAUUACUAUAUAAUGUAUACAUUUUAUGACCCCCAUAAACAAUGAGUAGAUAUGAAACAAUGUCAACUGGACCCACUGGGCAAUUGGCCCACACUAGAUCGCCACUUUAUAAAAAAAAAAUCGCCCCUCUCUUGUUUACCGACUCGCCCCAUUUUUGAAAAAGUGUAAAAUCAAAUUGAACAAUUAAUCUGACAACUCAUUUAUUAACAAAAAGGGUUUAAACCCCACUGAAUAAAGGUUUGCCAACUCGCCCCA